rnacentral:tRNA from 1 species
ACGUCAUUAGCUCAGCAGGAAGAGUGGCAGCGAAAUUAUUCGUUGGCGGACUGGGGUUCGAUUCCUCGAUGACGUUCCA